GACGAACGCUGGCGGCGUGCUUAACACAUGCAAGUCGAGCGGUAAGGCCCUUUCGGGGGUACGACGAGCGGCGAACGGGUGAGUAACACGUGGGUGACCUGCCCUCAGCUCUGGGAUAAGCCUGGGAAACCGGGUCUAAUACUGGAUAUGACUCCAUGACGCAUGUUGUGGGGUGGAAAGCCUUGUGCGGCUGAGGAUGGGCCCGCGGCCUAUCAGCUUGUUGGUGGGGUGAGGCCUACCAAGGCGACGACGGGUAGCCGGCCUGAGAGGGCGACCGGCCACACUGGGACUGAGACACGGGCCCACGACUCCUACGGGAGGCAGCAGUGGGGGAAUCUUGCGCAAUGGGCGAAAGCCUGACGCAGCGACGCCGCGUGAGGGAUGACGGCCU
rnacentral:rRNA from 1 species